rnacentral:rRNA from 1 species
UACGUAGGGUGCAAGCGUUGUCCGGAAUUAUUGGGCGUAAAGAGCUCGUAGGCGGUUUGUCGCGUCUGCUGUGAAAACCCGAGGCUCAACCUCGGGCCUGCAGUGGGUACGGGCAGACUAGAGUGCGGUAGGGGAGAUUGGAAUUCCUGGUGUAGCGGUGGAAUGCGCAGAUAUCAGGAGGAACACCAAUGGCGAAGGCGAGUUCCUGGACAGUUACUGACGCUGAGGCGCGAAAGCGUGGGGAGCAAACAGG